rnacentral:lncRNA from 1 species
AACAUCAUCUUCACCAUCUUGGACUUCUUCUGACAUUUUGAGGUCUUUUUCUUUUGCUUGAUUUUCCUCUUUGCUCACUGUUUCAUCCUCAUUCAAUUCAGAUUCAACCUUCUCUAAUCCUGUCACUUCAUGGACUUCCUUAACCAGGGAGCUUUCAGACUUUUCUGUUUGACCAUCAUCAUUGACUACAUCCUCCUUUUUUUCUAUGGUUUCGACACUAGAUUUGAUUUCUUCAGUGUCUUCCUCUAUACUUUCUCUAGUUUCAAAAAACUCAGGUUCUUUACCUUCUUCUUGGUAGUUCUUUUUUUGCAAGUCUUCUUCUAAUGCUGCAACCUGUGAGGUUGUUACAUUGUCCUCACCUUGACCUUCUGCCGACAUGUUGACCUGAUCCUUUUCUUGAUCUUCAUCUUUAAAAGUUUCUAUUGCUUUUAUCCCUUCUUCAGAUUCAACCUUUUCCGAACUAGUCUCAUCACAUACCUCUUUGACAGAGUGGAUAGGAGGCGUUUCCAUUUGAUCAUCAUCAUGCUCAAUAGGCUCUUUGUUUUUUUCUUCAGUUUCUGUUUUCUCUUCUUGAGAUUCCACUUGUGCUGAUGUGAAAACAUCAGUUGUGAUGGCAUGUGGCAACUCUCCUUGCUCCACUUUUUCUUUUGUUUUAACAUUUGUGCUUAUAAGUUCAUUAUCUUCCUCCAUGCUUUCUCUAGUUUCAAAAAAUACAUCCUCAGAGGCUGCAACUGUAUCCUGUGAGCAUAUAACUUCAUCCUCACUUUGGUCUUUUUCUGGUAUGUUGAGCUCUUGUUCCUUUUCUUGAUAUUCAUCUUUGCUUAAAAUUUCUAUUUCUUUCUCAUUCUGAUACAUAUCGGAAUUUAUCCCUUCUUCAGAUACAGUCUUCUUUAAGUCAGUCUCUUCACAUACUUCCUGUUGCUCCUUUUCAUCUGUUUCAACACUUGGUUUGAUUUCUUCAGUAUACAUCUCUUGCUCAAAAAUUAUGCUGGCACUUUCUUCUAUUUUAUCUUUUGCUCCAUUAUCAUCAUACUGCUCGCUUGCCUAUAUGAAGAGUGUAUUUUGAGUACAUGGGCAGAAUGGACAAUACAGAACUUGGUAAGUCUAAUGUAUAGUCAAAGUUUGUAAAACAAUCUGUGUAACAGCUUAGUUUAUUGGUCUCUUUUUCAAAAGAAAAUUAUGAGCAGCAUUUGCUCUAAAGUCUAAACUACUUUAUAAAACGGGUUUCCCUUAGAAUUUAUCAUUUUCAUAAAUAUCCACAACUUGCUUUUCUUCUAGUUCUAUACCCCUCCCCAAUUGUACUGUUCAAUUGAAUAAAUCAAGUUCUGUAUUUGAAGUUACACUUAAUAUGCUCUAUAAAAUAUGUAUUUUAUCUUGUUUAGGGCCCUUAAAAUGGUCUAAUAUAUAUAUAUNNNNNNNNNNNNNNNNNNNUAUAUAUAUAUAUAUAUAUAUAUAUAUUUGUAAGAGAUACUUGAACUACCGAGUUGAACAACUUAUGCAUUUGUUACUUUCUCAAACACAUGAGAUGAGAAAUUUUGUAGCAGACAACAUAAUGUCUUGAUAAUUUUAGCAUUGCAAGUUUAGUUGGAAUGAUGUACAAGUAAAACCUUUUGAAAUAAUUAGAGAUUACUUAAGAUGAACAUAAAUUACCUCUUGAGCAUGAAUUGAUUUGUCUUCUAUUUCUUCCUUGAGGAUCUCUUUGGUCAAUGCACUAUCAUCUUUGCUCUCCUCAAAAUCAACCACUGUGGUAACAUGUUGACCAAUUGUUGACUCUUGUAUAUCCUCACACGUUGCAUCUUCUGAACUUGUAACGGCAUCCCCACCACCUUGGACUUCUUCUGGCAUUUUGAGUUCAUGUUCCUUUUCUUGAUUUUCCUCUUUGCUCACUAUCUCAUUCUCAUUCAAUUCAGGUUUAGCCUUCUCUGAUCCUGUCACUUCACACACCUCCUUAACCAAUGGGCUUUCAAACUCAUCAUUGACUAUAGCAUCUUCCUCAAUCUUUUCUUCAUUUUCCAUAGUUUCUUUUUUAGGUUCUAUUUCUGUUGAGCUGCAAACAUCAGUAGUAAUGACAUGCAGCAACCCUUGUUGCUCCAUAUUUUCUUUUGUUUCUAUACUAGAUUCGAUUUCUUCAAUGUUUUCCUCUACACUUUCUCUCGUUUCAACAACUUCAGGUUCUUUACCUUCUUCUUGGUAGUUCUUUUCUUGCAAGUCUUCUUCUAAGGCUGCAACCUGUGAGCUUGUUACAUUAUCCUCGCCUUGACCUUCUGUUGACAUGUCAACCUGAUCCUUUUCUUGUUCUUCAUCCUUGAAAGUUUCAAUAGCUUUUACCUCUUGUUCAGAUUCAACCUUUUUUGAGCUAGUCUCAUCGCAUACCUCCUUGGUAGUCUCUUCAUAAACCUCCUUCAUAGACUCUUCAUUCUUUUGUUCAGUUUCCGUGGUCUCUUCUUGAGAUUCUGUUUGUGCUGAUAUGCAAGCUACCUCUUGAGCAUCACUUGGUUUUUCCUCUGUUUCUUCCAUAAGGAUCUCUUUAGGCAUUAAACCUAUCGCUUGUCCCUCCUCUAAAUAGGCCACUGUAGUGUCCUGUUGACCAACUGUUGUUUCUUUUAUAUCCUCACACGUUGCAUCUUUUGAACUUGUAGUUGUAACAUCAUCCCCUAAACCUUUUCCUGACACAUAAACCUCUUGUUCCUUUUCUUCAUCUUCAACUUUGUUCACUAUUUCUUUCUCAUUUGUUGUUUCUUUUACCUCUUCGCUAUAUUCAACUUUCUCUGAACUGGUCUCUUCACAUACUUCAUUGACUGGGGAGCUGUCAACAUUUUCCUUUUGACCAUUAUCACUCUGAAUAGGCUCGUCACUUUUUACUUCAUGUUCUUCACUUUCUACCUGAGAUUUUGUUUGUGAUGUGAUGCAAUCAUCAUGCAACAGUUCUUGCUGCUUGGUUUCAACACUUGGUUUGAUUUCUUUAGUAUCUUCCUCUUGCUCAAUCUCUGAACAAGAUUGAACAGUUUUGUUGUCGCUUUCAUCAGGCUUUUGUUCUGUUUUGUCCUAUUAGAGAAAAAGUAUUCAGUUAGAUAUGAUGAUUUAUAUAAAUAGGCUCAAAGUUUUUAAAAACAAUCUCUGUGGUAGGUUUUUUUCAUUGUUCUUUUUUAAGAUAAUUGUGAGUGACAGUUGUUCUUUAUAACAUUAACAUGAUUCUACAUUGCUUAGUAAUAAAACAUUAAAAGUUUUAGUAGGAAAGAUAUACAAGUAAAACCUUUUGGAUUGUUCAGAGUUAACAUGGGAUGAACACGAAUUACCUCUUGAGCAUCAAUUGCACUCUGAUUCGGCUCCUCGAACUCGAUAUCAGCCACUGGGGUAGCCUUUUGACCAAUUAUUGUUUCUUUUAUAUCCUCGCUGGAUGCAUUCUGUGAGCUUGUAACAUCAUCUCCACCACCUUGGACUUCUUUUGACAUUUUAAUCUCUUGUUCCUUUUCUUGAUUUUCCUCAUUGUUCACUAUUUCAUUCUCAUUCAAUUCAGAUUCAGCCUUCUCUGAGCUUGUUGCUUCACAUACUUCCUUCACCAAGGGGCUUUCAGACUUAUCUGUUUGACCAUCAUCAUUCACCAAUGCCUCUUCAUCAAUCUUUAUAUCAUCUUUUGUUUCGGCACUAGAUUUGAUUUCUUCAGUAUCUUCCUCUAAAUACUCUCUAGGUUUGACAAAUUCGGGUUCCUUACCUUCAUCAUCAUAUUUUGUUUCUGGUAAGUCCUGUAUAGAAGUUGCAUCUUGUGAGAAAGUGACAUCAUCUUUUCCUUGGUCUUCUUCUGAAAUGAUGGACUCUUGUUCUUGUUCUUGUUCUUUUUCUUUUUCUUGAUGUUCAUCUUUGUCAGAAGGUUCUACCCCUUCAAAUUUACCCUUCUCUAAGUGAGUUUCUUCACAUACUUCAGUCACAUCUUCAUCGUCUGUAAUCUUUACCUGCUCCUUUUCAUCUGUUUCCACACUUGGCUUGAUUUCUUCAGCAUUUUCAUUUUUGUUGACACUUUCCUCGGGCUUUUGUUCUAUUUUUUCAUUUGCUCCACUCUCAUCCUGCUCACUUGCCUAUAUGAACACAAGUAUUUUGAGUACAUGUGGAGAAUAAAAGUAACACAUCAUGAUAAGUCUAAUGCAUAGUCAAACUUUUAAAACAAUCUUUGUGGCAGCUUCAAAAAAAUUUGUGAGCCAAAUUUGCUAUAAACUACUUUAUAGAAUGGUUUUCUCUAAACAUUUAUCGUUUUAUGAACUCUAACUCUUCUCAACAAAUGAAACUAAACGUUUGGAUGAGACAAGCAUUUGACAUUAAAAUUAUGUAUGAAAAUCAUAAUAUUGUCUUAUACUUUUAUAAAUUAAACAUAAAACUAGUAAGAAUUAGCCUUAACAUUUAACAAUACAUUAGUAUAAUAUGUGAUUUUUAGUUUCUCUUACACAUGAGAUAAGAAAAUAUGUAGCAGACAACAACAUUUCCAUAUGUCAUAAUGAUUAUAGCAUUUCAAAUUCUAGUAAGACUGAUCUACAAUUAAAACUGUAAAACCUUUUAGGAAUAGUUAGGUUUACUUAGAAUGAACAUGAAUUACCUCUUGCACAUCAGUUGAUUUGUCCUCUGCUUCUUCCUUAAGGAUCUCCUUAGGCGUUGAGUUUAGAGCCUGUUCCUCCUCUAAAUAGGCCACUGUAGUAACAUGCUCACCAGUUGUUGUUUCUUUUAUAUCCUCAAAUGUUGCAUCUUGUGAACUUGUAACAUCAUCCCCUAAACCUUUUCCUGACACAUAAACCUCUUGUUCCUUUUCUUCAUCUUCAACUUUGCUUGCUAUUUCGUUUUCAUUCAGAUCGAUAUUAACACUGUCAGAAAGUUUUAACCCUUCUUCAGAUUCAACCUUCUCUGAGACAGUCUCUUCACAUACUUCCUUCACCAUGGUCUCUGUAUUAGAACUAUCAGAGUAGUUCACCUCUUCUUUAUAUUCAAUUUUCUCUGAACUAGCCUCUUCACAUACUUCAACACUUGGUUUGGUUUCUUCAGUAUCUUUCUCUUGCUCAAUUUCUGAACCAGACUGUACAAUUUUGUUGUCACUUUCUGCAGACUUUUGUUCUUUUUUGUCCUAUUAGAGAAGAAAUAUUCAGUAUAUUAUACGACUGAAAGAAAAGAAAUGAUGAUUUAUAUAAACAGGCUUAAAGUUUUUAAAAACAAUCUUAAGGGUAGGUUUUUUUCAUUGUUAUUCUAUAAAAUAAAUGUGAGCGACAGUUGUACUUUAUAACAUGAAUCUACAUUGGUUAGUGAUAAAAAAAAGCAUUUCAAGUUUUAGUUGGAAUGAUGUACAAGUAAAACCUUUUGGAUUGUUUAGGAGUUAACAUGGUAUGAACAUGAUUUACCUCUUGAACAUCAAUCACACUCUGAUUCUGCUCCUCGAACUCGAUAUUAGCCACUGGGGUAGCCUGUUGACCAAUUGUUGUUUCUUUUAUAUCCUCACUGGAUGCAUUCUGUGAUCUUGUAACAUCAUCUCCACCACCUUGGACUUCUUCUGACAUUUUAAGCUCUUGUUCCUUUUCUUGAUUUUCCUCUUUGCUCACUAUUUCGUUCUCAUUCAAUUCAGAUUCAGCCUUCUCUGAGGUUGUCGCAUCAUAUACUUCCUUCACCAAGGGGCUUUCAGACUUCUUUGUUUGAUCAUCAUCAUUCACUAAUGCCUCUUCAUCAAUCUUUAUAUCAUCUUUUGUAUCAGCACUAGAUUUGAUUUCUUGAGUAUCUUCGUCUAUAUUCUCUCUAGGUUUGACAAAUACAGGUAAGUUCUCUAUAGUGGUUGCAUCUUGUGAGCAUGUGAUAUCAUCUUUUCCUUGGUCUUCUUCUGAAAUGAUGGACUCUUGUUCUUUUUCUUUUUCUUGAUCUUUAUCAUUGUCAGAAGGUUCUACCCCUUCAAAAUUUCCCUUCUCUAAUUGAGUUUCUGCACAUACUUCAAUCACAUCUUCUUCAUAGUCUGUAAUCUUCACUUGUUCCUUUUCAUCUAUUUCCACACUUGGCUUGAUUUCUUCGGUAUCUUCAAUUUUGUUGACAAUUUCCUCGGGAUUUUGUUCUAUUUUUUCGUUUGCUCCACUCUC